rnacentral:pre_miRNA from 1 species
CGUGGUCAUUGGGCUUUCCCGCAUUUAGUAUAUCGUCCCAAUAACUAAGAUUAUUGGACGAUAUACUAAAUGCGAGAAAGCCCAAUGUCAGC